CAUCACAUUGCUAGGGAUGAAGUCAAUGUAUCUCUGGACCUCAUGUAGCACAGCAUCUGUGUAGGGCAUGCGGCUCCUGUCCUGCAUGCAGGGGAUCCUGUG